UCGAGGAUCUUCGGCAAUGGGCGCAAGCCUGACCGAGCGACGCCGCGUGUGCGAUGAAGGCCUUCGGGUUGUAAAGCACUGUCGAGGGGGAGGAAAGCCCGCAAGGGCCUGACCUAUCCCUGGAGGAAGCACGGGCUAAGUUCGUGCCAGCAGCCGCGGUAAGACGAACCGUGCGAACGUUGUUCGGAAUCACUGGGCUUAAAGGGCGCGUAGGCGGGCCCUCCAGUCAGGGGUGAAAUCUUCCGGCUCAACCGGAAAGUAGCCCCUGAUACUGAGGGUCUCGAGGGGUGUAGGGGCAUGUGGAACUUCCGGUGGAGCGGUGAAAUGCGUAGAUAUCGGAAGGAACGCCGGUGGCGAAAGCGACGUGCUGGACACCUUCUGACGCUGAGGCGCGAAAGCCAGGGGAGCAAACGGGAUUAGAUACCCCGGUAGUCCUGGCCCUAAACGAUGGGUACUAGGAUUGUGGACCGGACAUGGGUUCACAGUCGAAGCAAAAGUGAUAAGUACCCGCCUGGGGAGUAU
rnacentral:rRNA from 1 species